ACCCUAUAGGUUACAGAUGCUGGAAUGCCCUGUAACCGAAAGUUCCGACGCCUUAGGAUGGAUCUGCGGCCGAUUAGGUUGUUGUCGGGGUAACGGCCCAACAAGCCGAUAAUCGGUACGGGUUGUGGGAGCAAGAGCCCGGAGUUGGAUUCUGAGACACGAAUCCAGGCCCUACGGGGCGCAGCAGGCGCGAAAACUUUACAAUGCGGGCAACCGUGAUGAGGGAACCUCGAGUGCCUGUAUAUGCAGGCUGUCCAUGUGUCUAAAACACACCUGAAGAAAGGGCCGGGCAAGACCGGUGCCAGCCGCCGCGGUAAUACCGGCGGCUCGAGUGGUGGCCGCUUUUAUUGGGCUUAAAGCGUUCGUAGCUGGGUCGUUAAGUCUCUUGGGAAAUCCGGCAGCUUAACUGUCGGGCGUCUAAGGGAUACUGGCGAUCUUGGAACCGGGAGAGGUGAGGGGUACUUCAGGGGUAGGAGUGAAAUCCUGUAAUCCUUGAGGGACCACCUGUGGCGAAGGCGCCUCACCAGAACGGCUUCGACAGUGAGGGACGAAAGCUGGGGGAGCAAACCGGAUUAGAUACCCGGGUAGUCCCAGCCGUAAACGAUGUGCGUUAGGUGUAUCGACGACCACAAGUCGUCAAGGUGCCGAAGGGAAACCGUGAAACGUACCGCCUGGGAAGUACGGUCGCAAGGCUGAAACUUAAAGGAAUUGGCGGGGGAGCACCACAACAGGUGGAGCCUGCGGUUUAAUUGGACUCAACGCCGGGAAGCUCACCGGAUAAGACAGCUGAAUGAUUGCCGGGCUGAAGACUCUGCAUGACUAGCUGAAAGGAGGUGCAUGGCCGUCGUCAGUUCGUACUGUGAAGCAUCCUGUUAAGUCAGGCAACGAGCGAGACCCACGCCCACAGUUGCCAGCAUGAUCUCCGGAUUGAUGGGGACACUGUUGGGACCGCCUCUGCUAAAGAGGAGGAAGGAAUGGGCAACGGUAGGUCAGCAUGCCCCGAAUUAUCCGGGCUACACGCGGGCUACAAUGGGCAGGACAAUGGGUAUCGACCCCGAAAGGUGAAGGCAAUCUCCUAAACCUGUCCGUAGUUCGGAUUGCGGGCUGUAACUCGCCCUCCUGAAGCUGGAAUCUGUAGUAAUCCCGUUUCAAAAUACCCCGGUGAA
rnacentral:rRNA from 1 species